GAAAUGCGCAGAUAUUAGGAGGAACACCGAUGCCGAAGGCACCACUCUGGGCCGAUACUGACGCUGAGGAGCGAAAGCGUGGGUAGCAAACAGGAUUAGAUACCCUGGUAGUCCACGCCGUAAACGCUGGGCACUAGGUGUGGGUCUCUAACCAACGAGAUCCGCGCCGUCGCUAACGCAUUAAGUGCCCCGCCUGGGGAGUACGGUCGCAAGACUAAAACUCAAAGGAAUUGACGGGGGCCCGCACAAGCAGCGGAGCGUGUUGCUUAAUUCGAUGCUACGCGAAGAACCUUACCUAGGUUAAAUCAUUGGGAAAAGCCACAGAGAUGUGGUGUCCUUCGGGGCUCAAUGAAGGUGGUGCAUGGCUGUCGUCAGCUCGUGUCGUGAGAUGUUGGGUUAAGUCCCGCAACGAGCGCAACCCUUAUUCUAUGUUGCCAGCACGUAAUGGUGGGGACUCGUAGGAGACUGCCGGGGUCAACUCGGAGGAAGGUGGGGAUGACGUCAAGUCAUCAUGCCCCUUAUGUCUAGGGCUGCAAACACGCUACAAUGGCCGGUACAAAGGGCUGCGAAACCGCGAGGUUUAGCGAAUCCCAUAAAGCCGGUCUCAGUUCGGAUUGGAGGCUGCAACUCGCCUCCAUGAAGCUGGAGUUGCUAGUAAUCCCGGAUCAGCAACGCCGGGGUGAAUACGUUCCCGGGCCUUGUACACACCGCCCGUCACACCACGAAAUCGGUAACACCCGAAGCCGGUGGCCUAACCGUAAGGAAG
rnacentral:rRNA from 1 species